GACGAACGCUAGCGGCGUGUCUGAAACAUGCAAGUCGAGCGGUAAGAGGAGCAAUCUUCUUAUAGCGGCGAACGGGUGCGUAACACGUAAAGAACCGACCCUCUGAAGGGGGAUAACCCUGGGAAACCGGGGAUAAUACCGCAUAAGCUACUCUUAACGCAUGUCAAGAGUAGGAAAGGUUUAUGUUAAAGUAAGCCGACAGAGGAAGGCUUUGCGGCCUAUCAGGUAGUUGGUGAGGUAACGGCUCACCAAGCCAAAGACGGGUAGCUGGUCUUAG
rnacentral:rRNA from 1 species